AUUUGCUAUAUUUUCUCGUUUGUUUUACUAAUUUUUGACCAAUUAAUAAGCAUGUUUUUGUUUUAGAAAUUGAUAUUCAAAUUCCCCGCCAUAUUUUCAUAAUUUGGUGCAUGCGCAGACGUUUUUCCGCGGUGUUGUUCUGUGGUGUAAAAAUUUGAUCAGACCCAAAGAGUAUGAUUGCGCUGUACAAAAAAGCUUGUAUGGAGGCAUAUAAAGCGAGAGAAGGAGAUAGUCAUGUGUGUAAAAUUCAGUAUCCCUGUACGCGGCGUUUCGUCCUUCAUGGACUCGUCAGCAGGGAUUGGCAAUUGUGUGAGAAAGACAGAAUAUAGAAGCCGAUUUGGAAUAAAGUGAAAAAACAUAAAAAAUUAGCAAUAUGUGCAUAUGACUAUUGUAUAACGUAAAAUGUAAAUUGUCUUACCAAAAUCGUUGUUGAGUUUGGUCAAUAAUUAUUACUAUUAGG